ACGGAAGGCAGCAGUGGGGAAUAUUGGACAAUGGGGGAAACCCUGAUCCAGCGACGCCGCGUGAGUGAAGAAGUAUUUCGGUAUGUAAAGCUCUAUCAGCAGGGAAGAUAAUGACGGUACCUGACUAAGAAGCCCCGGCUAACUACGUGCCAGCAGCCGCGGUAAUACGUAGGGGGCAAGCGUUAUCCGGAUUUACUGGGUGUAAAGGGAGCGUAGACGGCAUGGCAAGUCUGAUGUGAAAACCCGGGGCUCAACCCCGGGACUGCAUUGGAAACUGUCAAGCUAGAGUGCAGGAGAGGUAAGUGGAAUUCCUAGUGUAGCGGUGAAAUGCGUAGAUAUUAGGAGGAACACCAGUGGCGAAGGCGGUUAGCUGGACAAUAACUGACGCUGAGGCGCGAAAGCGUGGGUAGCAAACAGGAUUAGAUACCCUGGUA
rnacentral:rRNA from 1 species